rnacentral:rRNA from 1 species
GUAAACGGCGGCCGUAACUAUAACGGUCCUAAGGUAGCGAAAUUCCUUGUCGGGUAAGUUCCGACCUGCACGAAUGGCGUAAUGAUGGCCAGGCUGUCUCCACCCGAGACUCAGUGAAAUUGAACUCGCUGUGAAGAUGCAGUGUACCCGCGGCAAGACGGAAAGACCCCGUGAACCUUUACUAUAGCUUGACACUGAACAUUGAGCCUUGAUGUGUAGGAUAGGUGGGAGGCUUUGAAGUGUGGACGCCAGUCUGCAUGGAGCCGACCUUGAAAUACCACCCUUUAAUGUUUGAUGUUCUAACGUUGGCCCCUAAUCGGGGUUGCGGACAGUGUCUGGUGGGUAGUUUGACUGGGGCGGUCUCCUCCUAAAGAGUAACGGAGGAGCACGAAGGUUGGCUAAUCCUGGUCGGACAUCAGGAGGUUAGUGCAAUGGCAUAAGCCAGCUUGACUGCGAGCGUGACGGCGCGAGCAGGUGCGAAAGCAGGUCAUAGUGAUCCGGUGGUUCUGAAUGGAAGGGCCAUCGCUCAACGGAUAAAAGGUACUCCGGGGAUAACAGGCUGAUACCGCCCAAGAGUUCAUAUCGACGGCGGUGUUUGGCACCUCGAUGUCGGCUCAUCACAUCCUGGGGCUGAAGUAGGUCCCAAGGGUAUGGCUGUUCGCCAUUUAAAGUGGUACGCGAGCUGGGUUUAGAACGUCGUGAGACAGUUCGGUCCCUAUCUGCCGUGGGCGCUGGAGAACUGAGGGGGGCUGCUCCUAGUACGAGAGGACCGGAGUGGACGCAUCACUGGUGUUCGGGUUGUCAUGCCAAUGGCACUGCCCGGUAGCUAAAUGCGGAAGAGAUAAGUGCUGAAAGCAUCUAAGCACGAAACUUGCC